rnacentral:lncRNA from 1 species
UGGUAUCCUGGAGACAAAGUGCUCACCCUUGGAUCAAGAUCUGCUAUCAAACUCUAGGGGUGAGAUCAUGUAUGAGCCUCUAGAACAAUUUCUGCACUCAACAAAAGAAGAGUAUAGCGUAGUAUCAGUACAAACUACUAUGUACUGGUAGGUAUCAUAGGACAACUAAACUUAAUAACAUGUACACAACAUAAAUCAAAUAACAAGUAGACAGACAUCAUCACAUAACAAAUUCUCAAUGAAUCAACAAUACAACAAUAACAGGUCAAACAGUGCUCACAGACAAGCCACAUAACCAUCAAGAGUAUCAACCAUACUGUAAACAUCCACAAAAUCAACACAAAUAUGUACACAUAUGCUAUGGGACUUAUUUUUGCCCAAAUGGUCAUGACCUGUAGGGAACAAUCUAUGUUCAUAUACCGUACCGACGUGGUACCCGAUCCAACAUAUACAUAUCCGUACCGAUGUGGUACCCGAUCCAACAUAAAUAUAAACACACCGGCGUGGUACUCGAUCCAAUACAAACAUAAACAUACCGGCGUGGUACCUGAUCCAACAUAAAUAUAAACGUACCGGCGUGGUACCCAAUCCAACAUAAAUAUAAACGUACCGGCGUGGUACCCGAUCCAACAUAAAUGUAAACAAGUAUUAUCAAUAUCAAUUUACACAACCUCAUAGCAUUCAACACAAUGUACUAAGAUUACAAGUACACUUAAAGUCAUGAGACAAUUCUAUCAAGUCAAUUUUUAAUAAACAUUUAUACAGGAAUCAACAAUCCAAACAUCUACAAUUUCAAACAUGUACAAAUACCAAUCCACAAGUAUCCAAUUUAGGAGCAUACACACAAUUAAAUCAAGUCUAAACUCCAAUUAAACCAUAACCUACCUCAAUCGAAGAAUUCAAAUGCAAGCUAAUUUGUAAGGGUCUUACCCCUCCAUAAAGCUUCCGAAAUAUCAAAAUCUGUUCAAAUAUAUAAUCUCCAUAAGAAUAUGAAUUUAAUUACAUCAAUUUAUUCAUUAUAUCUCAAUCACUGACUAAUUAUUACCUUAUCAUUAUGCUACUAACCAAUGAUUAUUAGUAAUCAUUACAAAAUUUAUAUUAAGCCAAAAUAUUAGUACCACUGCAAUGCACGUACAAGACCAUUUUUGACUAACUUCUACUUGCCAAAUUCCUGUUUUCGACCUUACACCUUCCUUCCCCAAACCAGAAUACCCAAAUACAAAUUUCCCCCUUAUAAUAUUGAGCACAUGAUUACGUUAAUCCUCCACACAAAACGACUAACAGUAGUAGCUUUCGCACUUUUCGUAAAUGGUGAGAACAAUCAAAUUUUGUUGUAAAGAAACUACUUGCUUCACCUUUAUCAGACAACAACACUAAUCUAGUAUAUAAUUAACUCAUUAACUAAGCUAGUUUCAACACCACAACUGGCCAAUUCUCGAGCAAUUAAUGGCCAUCACCUAACUUAAAAUACCUUCAUAUUUUUAUAUAUAUCAUGACUACACUAAGAACAAAAUGAUUGCACAAAGUUUACUGACGAACCUGAAGCAGUCACGUUCCUCCACUACAAUGGUUG